UGUUGCUGCAACACUGCUGCAAUCUUGCAGAAUAAUAGUGAAUCCAUUCUUCGUUGGAAGCUGAUUUUGCGUACACAGCUCAAAACAAACAGGUUAUCUGAAUGUGUUAGACAGUUUGCUGCUUUGUUUCAUCUAACUAAUACACAUGUUUGAGGAAACAAACAUGGUAUUUAUUAACUAAAAUUAUUUCUUUAGAAAUAAAAAUGACUCAUGAUUUAGUAGAAAAAUUAAUGUAAUUUAAGGUGUCCUAGUUAUAAUCUUCGUGUUGUUUGGCACAAUAAAUCGCAUAAAUCUGUUAAUGCUGAUUUCAGGCAAAAAAAUAUUUACUGAGAUGGAUACACACAUGUGAUUUUAUUGUCACUGGAUCGCAUAAACCUUUGCAUGUGAAUAAUGAGUUCUAAAAGCUUAAAUGCCCUGUUUUAUCUAACUUUCCCCUAAUUUAUACAUUUUUUGUAAUUAUACAUAUGUAACUAUUCAUAUUCAUUAAUAUCUUAAGUAAGCAGAACUAAUUUUAGUACCUUAUAAAAAUUACUCUUUCAAACUAAUAUCGAUACAAUAUAAUAGACGUUAAUAUACUAAUCUUUACUCCAUAAUAAAGAUAAAAAAUGUAUUCAUUAGAUACUAAUCUUAAAUAUCAUUGUUAAUUAUUGUUAAAUGCAGAUAUUUUUUAAAUUAUUUAAAUUAUACUAAACAUGCCUAGCUAUUGUCCACCUAAUAAUAAUUGCUUUAGUACGAUAUAUCCCUUGAUGAACGAACAUGUUGUUCUUGAUUGUCAAUCUUGACAAUGACAUGAAUAUAAGCAAGAUAUAAACUCAUAAAUAUAAAUAAUCUUUGCAGGAUAAUUGUACGGUACUUUGGUAUAUAUCUCUGAUAUAAACAUACGCCGUACUUAAGGAGAAAUAAAUUUAUUGAGUAUUAUUUACAAUAUUUAAGACAAUGGUAAAAAUACAUCAUUUUUAUGUAACUUUUUUCUUUAUAAUUUUUUAAUAAACCAUGAGGGACGAGAAAGGACAAUGACUUUCACCUCCUUAGAGAUUCAAGAGAUCAUUUUAACAUAUGCUAAAUAAGAUUAUUAUACUGCAUACAUCUCGUUUCUUUUCAGAGAGGAAAGAUGAUGACAUCCCCUUAUAAAUUUUUACAUUGUGAGAGUUGUAAUCAACAGCCCUAUGUCGGCAAAGUACCAAUAAAGAAGGAAAAUCUAUGUGUUGACUUCAUCUAUCAAUUUGUGAAACAUAGCAAUAGCAUAAAUCGUACAUGUAAAAAGAUAAUUGGGACACCCAGGGUUUUUCCAGAUUAUGGACAGUUUACAGACAAAACAUUUACCAUUAGCUUGAAUUCCACGAAACUGUAUAUCCAAUCAGAGUUUCUAUAUAUGAAGUGUAUAAUCCUGGAUACGUAACUGAAAUUUGGGCUGAAAAUUCUCAACUUCACAAUCAAUGGUUUCUUUUAUGGACUGGAGAGGCUCAGAAGGCUCCUCCGACAUCACGGAUAUUUUUCCCGCCUUUACAAUUUUGUGGCUUCAAAACCAAGAGACUCAGACUACAAUUUACGGAUAUGCCUCAAUUGUCACAGUUCCAACACCUCAUAGAUGCUGUGAUGCUUAUCGGUUCUUCAGAAUUAAUCGUUCCUAAAAAUCCUAAACAGAGUUUAACUGAUCUGUUAAUAAGUAUUAACAAGUAUUAUGAGUGUUUGGAUGACCAUAAUUUAACACCGAAUUAUGAAAGAGCCCAUUUGGAUAUAUUCCACCUUGAAAAGGAAUUGUGUUUGAAAGUUGUACUAUAACUAGUGAAAGUGAUAUUAUUAAACACUCUUCAAUCCAUGGAACAACCAGGUGGCGAUUUUCGUGUGCUUCCUGUAAAGUAUUCGAAGACGUUUAUUGCUCGUUACAAUAUUUGUUAUAUUUAUUAAAGUGAUAUCAUGAAUUAAAAUUUUAUUUAUUAUCUUUGCAGACUGAAAUGAUAUUGGAAGUAUUGAAAUAUUUGGAUACGACGGCGUUGUGCCGCAUGAACAGAGUAAAUAAAUAUUUCGGUGAAUUAAUUGGUACGAUUUUAUAUUUGUAUUUGCCAUAUUAUAUUUCACUGUACAUUCAGACGUUUGCAGCACUUUGAUCUAAGUUUGAAAACCGUGACUGUUUCGCAUUUCGUAAAGCUUAUUAAGGUGAUGCUGGAGUCUCUC